UACACAAAGUCCAGGACACUGCCCAGGCAUUGUGAUUUCAGGGAAGUGAGGGUUGUUCCGGGAAAGGAAAACAAACAGCAGGGGAGGGCUGAGCUUGCUUUCACUUUCAGUUCCAGCUCUGCAAACGCCACAGACAGCAGCACAACCAUGGAUGUUCCUGUGCCCCCGAUGCCGGCCCCGCUCUGCCUGGUGAACAACAAGGAUGGCGUGCUGUCCCUCAACCCCGCGGCGAUGGCAGUGCUGCAGGAGGUGCCCCAGCCCCUGGUGGUGGUGGCCAUCGCUGGGCCCUACCGCACCGGGAAGUCCUUCCUGAUGAACCGGCUGGCACAGAGGCGCACUGGCUUCCCGCUGGGCCCCACGGUGCGGGCAGAGACCAAGGGCAUCUGGAUGUGGUGCCUGCCCCACCCGCGCCGGCCCGGUAUGACCUUGGUGCUGCUGGACACUGAGGGGCUGGGAGACCCCAACAAGGGUGACAGUCACAACGACGCCUGGAUCUUCACACUGGCGCUGCUGAUGUCCAGCACCCUGGUGUACAACAGUAUGGGCACCAUCGACCAAAAGGCACUGGAGCAACUCGAGCUGGUGACGCAGCUGUCAGAGCUGAUCCGGGUGCGGGACGGGGACAAGGACGGCAACAGCAGCGCUGAAGGAGAAGAUGAGGCCGAGGACUGCGAGUUCGUGGGCUUCUUCCCCAGCUUUGUGUGGGUGGUGCGGGACUUCACGCUGGAGCUGCGCGUGGGCGAGCGGCCCAUCAGCGAGGACGAGUACCUGGAGCAGGCGCUGGAACUCAAGCACGGGCACGGCCGCAAGGUGCAGAACUACAAUAUGACGCGGGAGUGCCUCCACAACUAUUUCCCCACGCGGAAAUGCUUCGUGCUGCCAUCACCAGUGGGCGCAGAGGAGCACGGGCGCCUGGAGGAGCUGCCCGAGGCCGCGUUGGCCCCACGUUUCCUCCAACAGGCCGCCAAGUUCUGCAACUACGUGCUGAGCUCCGCCUGGCCCAAGGCGCUGCCUGACGGCGCAGCACUGACAGGGCGCGGCCUGUGCAUGCUGCUGCACAGCUACGUGGACGCCAUCAACAGCGGGCGCCUGCCCUGCCUGGAGGGAGCAGCGGCAGUGAUGAUGGCCAAUGAGAACGCAGCUGCGGUGGCGGCAGCGCUGGAGGCCUACGCCCGGGGCAUGCGGGGGCUGUCACUGCCCGCAGAGCCCGCACGGCUCUCGGCCUCACACGGGGAGCACCUGCGUGAGGCACUCGUUGUCUUCCAGCGUCGCAGCUUCCGGGAUCGCGACCAGGAGCACCAGCGGCGCCUCAUGGAACAGAGCAGCACAGAGUACAGCCGCCUGCAGGAGGAGAAUGACGCAGCAUCACAGCGGCGCUGCAGGGCGCUGCUGGCUGAGCUGGCACGGGCACUGGACACCAGCCUGGCCCGUGGGGCCUACGCACAGCCCGGUGGUUACCGCGCCUACGAGGCCGAGCGGCAGCGUCUGCUGGAGGGCUACCGGCAAGCGGACGGCAAGGGCUCCAAGGCCGAGGAGGUGCUGGAUGAGUUCCUGGCAGGACGCCGGGCAGAGGCGGAGGCAGUGCUGAAGGCAGACAACGCACUGAGCGAGGCCGAGAAGCAGCUGGAGGAAGCAGCAGGCGCAGCUCCUGGAGCAGCAGCAGAAGGCGACGGCGGAGCGCGAACGGCAGCUAGAGGCGCUGCUGGCGGACGAGCGCAGCAGCUACGAGCAGAACCUGCAAGCACUGGAGGCCAAGAUGCAGGCGGAGGCGGCGAGCAUUCAGCAGGAGCUGAACCGGGCGCUGGAGGCGAAGCUACGGGAGCACAACGAGCUGCUGCAGCGCGGCUUCAGAGAGCGGGCGGCGCUGAUGGAGCAGGAGGUGGCGGCGCUGCGGCGGGAGAUGAACACCACCAACAACCAGGAGCUGGCGGCCAACGCCCUCGACGCCGUGCGCGCCGCCUGCGACCUCGCCAGCGUGGUAAAGAUGACCAGAGCGUUACGGGGUACAGCGGUGUAAGCUACUGCACACCAAUCAACCUCCGCCCGCCCCUGCUCGGCGGCCAAAUAAAGCGCUCCUCCCGCAGCCCCGCUACCCGCGCUCCUCUCUUGCGACGCUUCCGGCGCGAUGACGUCAUAACCUGGGCGACCGGACCCAUCCGCGCCCCCUUGCGGCCGUACCGCGGCGCGGCGCUGGGAGGGAAGGAACGAGGGAAGGAGCGAAACCUCGCGGCAGGGGAUUGGGUGGGGCGAUCUCGCGAGAGGGUGGGUUUUCCGGCUUCUUCCGGCUGGCGGUCGUGGUACUCACUUCCGGGUGUUGCGUGCGUGCGGGUGGCAGUGAGAUACAGACUGACACAUUUCUGCAUAAAACAGUCCCUGAACUGGCACUUCAAGGCUGGAAAUGAAAUAGGCGGUACCAGGUCUGGAGCUGAGGCUUCUUGAGAGAGUAUUGUACUUGCUGAUCACGCUGUGUGCCCAUGGGCACUGCAGGUGGAAGGGUGGAGAGCACUUGGCAGAGGAGCACAUUGCGGCUAAACCAGCCUCCAUUGCCAUCCUGUGCUGCUGCUGAGGAGUUUACCCAAACGUUGUGACCUUCCUGACCACAAGCUUAUUUUUCACCGUUGGAGUAAAGGUCUGUGCGUGUGGAAGGUGAAUCCGCUGGUCUGAAGGCUGGGGCUCUCUGCUAGCAGCUGCAAGGAGAUGCAGCAUCCGAGCCGUAUGUUUCCUCUCUCAGCUGUACAUGAGGCAUCCUCUGGAAAUACAGCCUGGAUCUUCUUGGCUUCUCUCACCAGUGUCAUUUCUCUUCUGAUUCAGCAAUUGGUUGUCCUUAAGACUAGAAGUUUAUUAGAACCCUGGUGUUUGUA